rnacentral:lncRNA from 1 species
CGCACUUGAUUCAAUCUCCUCGUAACUAUUUUGCUCCUUCACUGCACUUGAUUUUGCCUCCACCGCUAAAUCUGCGGCUUGCGAGUUCACCUGACUCCAAUUCGAGGAUAGCAACUCAGCAUAUUUUGACUUGUCAACUUUAACACUCUUGCCCUUUCUGAGGUUGCGAGAUCUACAAAAUCUGGAGUGGGUUUCAUUGGAUUUGGGUUUUGAAGAUUAAGAGGAUGGUUUUUACUAAGUAAACAAUGGAGUGAAAUCUAAUGUUGUCUCUGCUCGUCAAUGCAGUAGCACCGCCAGCAACAGGAUCGAUCUGUGAAAAGGAAGAGUCAUGUUAAUCCUAGAUUAGAGAAGAAAAAAAAAGCAGAGAUGAGAAAUUAACAAACCAGAGAGAGCAAUGGAACUGCAAAAGUGAUUGUGAACGUGACACUAAUGAGAGUGUGUGAGGGUCGAGCGAAAGUGUGAGGGAAGGUAUGAGAAAUGAGUGAACGAAAAUAACUGAG